rnacentral:pre_miRNA from 1 species
UUUGAGGGAAAUGUUUUUUGGCCCGAUGAAACCAACUCGACAAUUCCAAAGCCCUUCAAUUGUUUGUGUGCGUGUCAUGAAGUUAGUUUUGUCGGACCAGGCUUCAUUCCCCCCAGA